AGUCGAACGGUAACAGGAAGCAGCUUGCUGCUUCGCUGACGAGUGGCGGACGGGUGAGUAAUGUCUGGGAAACUGCCUGAUGGAGGGGGAUAACUACUGGAAACGGUGGCUAAUACCGCAUAACGUCGCAAGACCAAAGAGGGGGACCUUCGGGCCUCUUGCCAUCAGAUGUGCCCAGAUGGGAUUAGCUUGUUGGUGAGGUAACGGCUCACCAAGGCGACGAUCCCUAGCUGGUCUGAGAGGAUGACCAGCCACACUGGAACUGAGACACGGUCCAGACUCCUACGGGAGGCAGCAGUGGGGAAUAUUGCACAAUGGGCGCAAGCCUGAUGCAGCCAUGCCGCGUGUAUGAAGAAGGCCUUCGGGUUGUAAAGUACUUUCAGCGGGGAGGAAGGUGUUGUGGUUAAUAACCGCAGCAAUUGACGUUACCCGCAGAAGAAGCACCGGCUAACUCCGUGCCAGCAGCCGCGGUAAUACGGAGGGUGCAAGCGUUAAUCGGAAUUACUGGGCGUAAAGCGCACGCAGGCGGUCUGUCAAGUCGGAUGUGAAAUCCCCGGGCUCAACCUGGGAACUGCAUUCGAAACUGGCAGGCUUGAGUCUUGUAGAGGGGGGUAGAAUUCCAGGUGUAGCGGUGAAAUGCGUAGAGAUCUGGAGGAAUACCGGUGGCGAAGGCGGCCCCCUGGACAAAGACUGACGCUCAGGUGCGAAAGCGUGGGGAGCAAACAGGAUUAGAUACCCUGGUAGUCCACGCCGUAAACGAUGUCUACUUGGAGGUUGUGCCCUUGAGGCGUGGCUUCCGGAGCUAACGCGUUAAGUAGACCGCCUGGGGAGUACGGCCGCAAGGUUAAAACUCAAAUGAAUUGACGGGGGCCCGCACAAGCGGUGGAGCAUGUGGUUUAAUUCGAUGCAACGCGAAGAACCUUACCUGGUCUUGACAUCCACAGAAGAAUCCAGAGAUGGAUUUGUGCCUUCGGGAACUGUGAGACAGGUGCUGCAUGGCUGUCGUCAGCUCGUGUUGUGAAAUGUUGGGUUAAGUCCCGCAACGAGCGCAACCCUUAUCCUUUGUUGCCAGCGAUUAGG
rnacentral:rRNA from 1 species